rnacentral:rRNA from 1 species
UACGUAGGUGGCAAGCGUUGUCCGGAUUUACUGGGCGUAAAGAGCGCGCAGGCGGUCGUUCAAGUCGCGUGUGAAAGCCCCCGGCUCAACUGGGGAGGGUCACGCGAUACUGAUCGACUGGAAGGCAGGAGAGGGUAGUGGAAUUCCCGGUGUAGUGGUGAAAUGCGCAGAUAUCGGGAAGAACACCCGUGGCGAAGGCGGUUCUCUGGGACGGUACUGACGCUGAGACGCGAAAACGUGGGGAGCGAACAGG